UUUUAGGCGUUUUGACCCCUUACGAGACAUUAGUAUACCAAAGUAAAGACAACGAAUGUGGAGUGUUUUACAUAAAUUUCGACCGUGAUUACACUGAUCCUGAUGUUUGGUUUGAAAUGAGAUUAAGAAACACCUCAUUGCUAAGAGGACCAGAUGAAGAAUGCUUGAAUCAUUUCCGAGACUAUUCUCACACUCAAAAUAUAACCUUUAACUAUACUUCUCAAUGCCAAUGCAUAUUCCUUCGCCAAACCUAUUAAA